rnacentral:rRNA from 1 species
GCGCGAAAACUUUGCAAUGCGGGAAACCGUGACAAGGGAACUCUGAGUGCCCGUWAAAUCGGGCUGUCCAUCGGUUUAAAUAACCGGUGAAGAAAGGGCCGGGCAAGACCGGUGCCAGCCGCCGCGGUAAUACCGGCGGCUCGAGUGGUGGCCACUAUUACUGGGCUUAAAGCGUUCGUAGCUGGUUUGUUAAGUCUCUGGGGAAAUCUUCCGGCUUAACCGGAAGGCGUCUCAGGGAUACUGGCAGACUAGGGACCGGGAGAGGUGAGAGGUACUCCAGGGGUAGGA